rnacentral:rRNA from 1 species
UACGGGGGGGGCAAGCGUUGUUCGGAAUUACUGGGCGUAAAGGGCUCGUAGGCGGCCAACUAAGUCAUACGUGAAAUCCCUCGGCUUAACUGGGGAACUGCGUCCGAUACUGGAUGGCUUGGAUUUGGGAGAGGGAUGCGGAAUUCCAGGUGUAGCGGUGAAAUGCGUAGAUAUCUGGAGGAACACCGGUGGCGAAGGCGGCAUCCUGGACCAAUAUUGACGCUGAGGAGCGAAAGCCAGGGGAGCAAACGGG